rnacentral:rRNA from 1 species
GACGAACGCUGGCGGCGUGCUUAACACAUGCAAGUCGAACGGAAAGGCCCUGCUUUUGUGGGGUGCUCGAGUGGCGAACGGGUGAGUAACACGUGAGUAACCUGCCCUUGACUUUGGGAUAACUUCAGGAAACUGGGGCUAAUACCGGAUAGGAGCUCCUGCUGCAUGGUGGGGGUUGGAAAGUUUCGGCGGUUGGGGAUGGACUCGCGGCUUAUCAGCUUGUUGGUGGGGUAGUGGCUUACCAAGGCUUUGACGGGUAGCCGGCCUGAGAGGGUGACCGGCCACAUUGGGACUGAGGUACGGCCCAGACUCCUACGGGAGGCAGCAGUGGGAAGUAUUACACAAUGGGCGGGAGCCUGAUGCAGCAACGCCGCGUGCGGGAUGACGGCCUUCGGGUUGUAAACCGCUUUCGCCUGUGACGGAGCGUGAGUGACGGUAAUGGAUAAAGAAGCACCGGCUAACUACGUG